GACGAACGCUGGCGGCGUGCUUAACACAUGCAAGUCGAGCGAGAAACCUUCGGGUUUCUAGCGGCGGACGGGUGAGUAACACAUGGGUAACCUGCCUCAAAGAGGGGGAUAGCCUUCCGAAAGGAAGAUUAAUACCGCAUAAUAUUACAGUUUCGCAUGAAGCAGUAAUUAAAGGAGUAAUCCGCUUUGAGAUGGACCCGCGGCGCAUUAGCUAGUUGGAGAGGUAACGGCUCACCAAGGCAACGAUGCGUAGCCGACCUGAGAGGGUGAUCGGCCACAUUGGAACUGAGACACGGUCCAGACUCCUACGGGAGGCAGCAGUGGGAAUAUUGCACAAUGGGCGAAAGCCUGAUGCAGCAACGCCGCGUGAGUGAUGAAGGUCUUCGGAUUGUAAAGCUCUGUCUUUUGGGACGAUAAUGACGGUACCAAAGGAGGAAGCCACGGCUAACUACGUGCCAGCCGCCGCGGUAA
rnacentral:rRNA from 1 species